GACGAACGCUGGCGGCGUGCCUAAUACAUGCAAGUAGAACGCUGAAGGAGGAGCUUGCUUCUCCGGAUGAGUUGCGAACGGGUGAGUAACGCGUAGGUAACCUGCCUGGUAGCGGGGGAUAACUAUUGGAAACGAUAGCUAAUACCGCAUAACAGUAGAUAUUGCAUGAUAUCUGCUUGAAAGGUGCAAUUGCAUCACUACCAGAUGGACCUGCGUUGUAUUAGCUAGUUGGUGAGGUAACGGCUCACCAAGGCGACGAUACAUAGCCGACCUGAGAGGGUGAUCGGCCACACUGGGACUGAGACACGGCCCAGACUCCUACGGGAGGCAGCAGUAGGGAAUCUUCGGCAAUGGACGGAAGUCUGACCGAGCAACGCCGCGUGAGUGAAGAAGGUUUUUGGAUCGUAAAGCUCUGUUGUAAGAGAAGAACGAGUGUGAGAGUGGAAAGUUCACACUGUGACGGUAUCUUACCAGAAAGGGACGGCUAACUACGUG
rnacentral:rRNA from 1 species